UGAACGCUGGCGGCAGGCCUAACACAUGCAAGUCGAGCGGUAGAGAGAAGCUUGCUUCUCUUGAGAGCGGCGGACGGGUGAGUAAUGCCUAGGAAUCUGCCUGGUAGUGGGGGAUAACGUUCGGAAACGGACGCUAAUACCGCAUACGUCCUACGGGAGAAAGCAGGGGACCUUCGGGCCUUGCGCUAUCAGAUGAGCCUAGGUCGGAUUAGCUAGUUGGUGAGGUAAUGGCUCACCAAGGCGACGAUCCGUAACUGGUCUGAGAGGAUGAUCAGUCACACUGGAACUGAGACACGGUCCAGACUCCUACGGGAGGCAGCAGUGGGGAAUAUUGGACAAUGGGCGAAAGCCUGAUCCAGCCAUGCCGCGUGUGUGAAGAAGGUCUUCGGAUUGUAAAGCACUUUAAGUUGGGAGGAAGGGCAGUUACCUAAUACGUGAUUGUUUUGACGUUACCGACAGAAUAAGCACCGGCUAACUCUGUGCCAGCAGCCGCGGUAAUACAGAGGGUGCAAGCGUUAAUCGGAAUUACUGGGCGUAAAGCGCGCGUAGGUGGUUAGUUAAGUUGGAUGUGAAAUCCCCGGGCUCAACCUGGGAACUGCAUUCAAAACUGACUGACUAGAGUAUGGUAGAGGGUGGUGGAAUUUCCUGUGUAGCGGUGAAAUGCGUAGAUAUAGGAAGGAACACCCAGUGGCGAAGGCGACCCCCCCUGGA
rnacentral:rRNA from 1 species